rnacentral:rRNA from 1 species
CCUACGGGAGGCUGCAGUGGGGAAUAUUGCACAAUGGGGGAAACCCUGAUGCAGCGACGCCGCGUGAGUGAAGAAGGAUUUCGGUAUGUAAAGCUCUAUCAGCAGGGAAGAAAGUGACGGUACCUGUGGAGGAAGCGCCGGCUAACUACGUGCCAGCAGCCACGGUAAAACUUGGGGAGCGCGGGUGGUCGGACAUUACGGGGGCUAACGUUAGCGUAGGCGGGACUGCAUGUUGGGGGUAAAACCUCCCGGCUAAACCGGGAGCCGCAGUCGAAACUGCAGUUCGUGAGUGAAGUAGAGGCAGGCGGAAUUCCUAGUGUAGCGGUGAAAUGCGUAGAUAUUAGGAGGAACACCAGUGGCGAAGGCGGCCCGCUGGGCUUUUACUGACGCUGAGGCUCGAAAGUGUGGGGAGCAAACAGGAUUAGAUACCCUUGUAGUC